AUGUUCCACUCUUUGUUGUUGCAGAAGUUCAUGUUGUGUUGCCGCAAGCAAGUAAGCAUGCUUGGGUGCGCUAGCUCGGUUGAUGUGCAUGCUCAUGGCCCGUCAACACAUGCUAGUGGACAUAUUGUUGCUUCCUUGAGCCAUGUCGGUGCAGCUACCUGUAGCCAUGCCGCCUCGUUGUCUCGGCAUGUUGAGGAGCCCGAGGAAGACGAGGAAGAAGCGGAUGUUGAGCAAGAUGAGGGAAGUGGCGAUGGUGACGAGGAGGAGUACGACGAGGAUGGCGGACCUCCAUCCACUCAGCUAACUCAGGACAAAAGGAAGUCUCAUUCACACAAGAAGGUUUGGAGUCCAUCACCGAUCGAGAAAGAGCGUUCUCGUCGCCGAACAUCGAAAGAAAAAAAGUGUCGCUCAAAGAGAAACAAGGAACGUACUGCCAAGAGUGGUAGGAAUAAGUGA
rnacentral:rRNA from 1 species